GUGCUUGCUUCAGCAGCACAUAUACUAAAAUUGGAACAAUACAGAGAAGAUUAGUAUAGCCCCUGCACAAGGACGAUACGCAAAUUUGUGAAAUGUUCCAUAUUAUU